AUCGUAUAGUGGUUAUAGCUAUAACAAGGGUUAGUCUGGCAAUAUGGAUCGGCAUAUUUCUUUGUAUGUGCGUGUCAAGAGUGGAAGAGAACCUCUCAAGAGGUGUAGCAUUUGAACCUUUCUGUUCAGGUUAGAGAUUUUCUGUAUAGGAUACCCCUAUAGUAUAUACAAAUAUGAUCGAAGAAAGUUCAACAUUGCAAAUCUCUCAGCCUUUCUAUGAAUCUACGGGACCGUACGUGUUAUACUCUUGCCCGGAGGUGACUCAAACUGAAACAUGAACAGUAGUUCUUUGAGGUGUUCAUUUUGGUUAUCUUGACAGUUGAGUUUUUUAAAGUUUCUGGCCCAAUUCAUAUUGUCCAGAAGUUUAGCCUAAAUCAAGAUGUUUAGAGUUAGCUCUCAUUGCAAAAGCCCAAAACAAGAUAUCAACCAUUUCUAUAUAAUUUUAAACUACUUUGUUGAUUCUUGAAUUGCAAUAUUUAGUCUUGACGUGCUUUGAGUAAAUAAUUAUAUUUUGCUUUAUUAAUAGAAAGUAGUUUUUUAAAAAGCAUAAACUGUAACUA
rnacentral:lncRNA from 1 species